UACAGAGGGGGCAAGCGUUAUUCGGAAUUAUUGGGCGUAAAGGGCGCGUAGGCGGCUUGGCAAGUGGAAGGUGAAAUCCCUCGGCUUAACCGAGGAACUGCCCUCCAAACUGCUUCGCUUGAGACCGGGAGAGGUGAGUGGAAUUCCCAGUGUAGCGGUGAAAUGCGUAGAUAUUGGGAGGAACACCAGUGGCGAAGGCGGCUCACUGGACCGGUACUGACGCUGAGGCGCGAAAGCUAGGGGAGCAAACGGG
rnacentral:rRNA from 1 species